UACGAAGGGGGGCUAGCGUUGUUCGGAAUUACUGGGCGUAAAGCGCGCGCAGGCGGCCAUUCAAGUCAGGGGUGAAAGCCCAGAGCUCAACUCUGGAACUGCCCUUGAAACUGUAUGGCUUGAGUAUGAGAGAGGUGAGUGGAAUUCCCCAGUGUAGAGGUGAAAUUCGUAGAUAUUGGGAAGAACACCGGUGGCGAAGGCGGCUCACUGGCUCAUUACUGACGCUCAGGCGCGACAGCGUGGGGAUCAAACAGG
rnacentral:rRNA from 1 species